UAAAUAUUUAAACUGUUUCAAUAUUUGUAGCCAAAAGUUAUAGAUUUCACCGUAGCUGGCUGUCAAUAUCGUAUUUUAAUUUCUUUUGAAUUGACUGUGUAGAUAUUUAAAAUUCUUUUUGAAAUUUUAUGUAUAUUUAUCAACCGAGUGUAUUAAUAUGGUAAAAGGAUUGUAGAAGUUGAUAACUUUCAUUUAAAAGAUAUAUGUCAACAUGUUUUGACAGGGUGUCAAUAAAUGAAUCUUGACGGGAAUGACUUUGAGAUUAUUUACUUUUUUACAUACCUUGACAAUUCAUCAAUAUUGAAUUGGUGAUAAUGUGUAGCACAAGUGUUCAAUAUCUGAAAGUGAAAAGGUAAAGCUGAAGUUUCGAAGCUUCAAAACGUUGGUGAUUAUAAAUUCAAAAUGAAGAGGAACCAAAUAAAAAAGCCAUUUUAUGAUAUGAAAGUAACUUUUUCAAGACUUGAUGAGAUAACCUCAAAGACACGUGCACGUGCAAACAGGGUUAAUAUGCUAGAAGAAGCACGACUUCAAACAAUGCAGAAAAUAAUUGAAAAGGAGGAAAGAUUUAAAAACAAUAUUCUUGACCGCAUGUUAACUCGAUCAGACCGCUCUCACAAACGAUUAAAAGGUUAUGAAAGUGUUUUGAACGAUCAAUACAGAGCGAAAGAAUUUGACACACUUAAGAAGAGAGGAUAUAAACGACCUUGGGUACAGUCCCCUAAAGCUGCAAGACAUUUCGCUCAGGAAAUUAGAAUUUAUCAUGGCGGGUACGAUCGAAGAAACUUUGAAAAGGAAAUAGAAAGAAAAAUAAGACAAGUUGACCCAACCAGAGUACAAAAAAUCUUACGUAAGGUUCUAACUGAACAAAGUCAAACAAAAUCUAAUUUCAUUGCGGAUAGAAAUUUGGAAACUACAGAGUUUUAUGAAGCUUUUAAACAAAAAAUGAACCCCAAAAUACGUGUAGACAGACAUGGUAAACAUAUAACUGUGGACAUGCGAGAAAGUAAUUUACAAUCGAGACACACAACAGAAUAGUAGGAUUGCUAUCUUCAUUGUACAUAAAUGUUAAAUAUUGUUACGCAGUAUUGCAAUUUAAAACAUGUAUCAAGAAAUAUCAUAAAAAACUGUUAUCAUUUCAUCGAAAUAAGCUUCAAACGUACAAUUUCUUUUGACGUACAACAUAUUUGAUAGCCCAUAUGUUAGUCCCAGAUGGAUAUAAUGUUUACUUUAAAUUACAAGAAUUAAACAUAUUUCUACAUCA